CCUACGGGGGGCAGCAGUGGGGAAUAUUGCACAAUGGGGGAAACCCUGAUGCAGCGACGCCGCGUGAGUGAAGAAGUAAUUCGUUAUGUAAAGCUCUAUCAGCAGGGAAGAAAAUGACGGUAUAUGAGUAAGAAGCGCCGGCUAACUAUGUGCCCGCGGCCGCGGUAAUAUGCAGGGGGCAAGCGUUAUCCGGAUUUACUGGGUGUAAAGGGAGCGUAGACGGGAGUGCAAGUCUGGAGUGAAAGGCGGGGGCUCAACCCCCGGACUGCUCUGGAAAAUAUACGGCUGGAGUACAGGAGAGGUAAGUGGAAUUCCUGGUGUAGCGGUGAAAUGCGUAGAUAUUAGGAGGAACACCAGUGGCGAAGGCGGCUUACUGGACGGUAACUGACGGUGAGGCGCGAAAGCGUGGGGAGCAAACAGGAUUAGAUACCCUUGUAGUC
rnacentral:rRNA from 1 species